GAACAAUGGUUGGAUUUACAUCGAGUAAAGGAUUUGAUAAUUAUGAAGAUGGUAUCUCUUCUCCGAGGAACAGUUCUUCAUCUGUAGGUAACAGGGAAGAUAUGAGAACCCGAAUUAUUGAGAUGGUGUCGCAUGGCCUAGCAAACUUGUAGGUUAUGCUUAAGCAUUCGGGCUCCCUCUUUAUGUAUGCUGGUCACCUUGGUGGUUCGUAUGCAAAGAACAACUUUGGGAAUGUCUACACUAUUGUGGACGUUUUUGUUCUGGGGUGUUUACUUUGUGAAGCUUGGGGAAAGGAGGCUCCUAAAAUGCAGGAAGAAUUCAAUGAUUUUCUUGUGAGAGCUCAUGGUGAAAAUCUUGUGCCUGAGACGAGAACUACAAGGUGUAUGUUCGGCACACCAACAUUAGUAUUUGUUUCAAAUUUAGUUUUCUGGCUCCUAAAUCUGAAUCAAUCAGCACUGGAUUUGUAAGGAGGGAUGCCUAGUCACACAUUGAGCAUUUAUUUGUCAAUGGUUGUUAUCUGGAAUGUUGCACGGUGAUGGCCUUUGAUUUUUUGCUUAGUUGAUUGUUGGCUAUGGAAGGCAAAGGUUGAGAGGUUCUUCUGCUCGUGUGACAUGGGACUUCUGCUUCCACUACGUGAUGCAUGGGCAUUCCAAUUUCUUUUCCAGUACCUUCCCUGCACUUGGUUUUGUUGUGCAUAGGUAAAUUAGAUGUCUCAUGUCUGCUUAGGAGCUCCCUAUUCAUGGGUAUGUGGUUUGUUUCGCUGGCACAUAGAUUGAAGGUCUCACUAAAAUGAUAUUGUUUCUUGGCUUAGAAGUUCUAUUUGUGAGUGUACUUAUCUCUCUGAUCUCCAUGUAGUUAGCUUUAUGUGCCAUUUGGUAUAUCUUUUUGGGCCAUUUGUGAUCAUCAAGUUUGGUAAUUGCUAAACAUUUUUUGAAUGGUCAUUGUUAAAGCCUACAUGUGUUAGUGUUUUCCAGUAGUAUUAUGAGGAGCACUGGGCAGUAUUCGCAGUGUGGUGGGGAUGUUGUCCGGCCUCAGCCAUGCUAUAGUAUGUUAUUUCACUUCAAGUUAUAGAUUUACACUGCCUUCUUCAAAUAUUUCCAUUAUCUCUUUAGGUACUUAAAAUCUUUGUCCAUUUUCUUUUACAUCUACUUCUAUUUGUAUGUUUUAUUCAAGAAAAAAAAAUAGAUGGAUACCAUUACAAAGAUGCCUAUAUUAAAAAAUAUCAUCGACUGUAAGGAUGACAUAUGGGUCUUGUGACCACAUCUCAUAGAGAAAUCGAUGAUAUUUUCUAACUAGGGUGAUCUUUGUAAUGGUAUUUUCCAAAUUCGUCCUUUAUUCAGUGGUGUCAACCAUUUUUCAUUCAAGA